rnacentral:rRNA from 1 species
UACUCCUACGGGAGGCAGCAGUGGGGAAUAUUGGACAAUGGGGGGAACCCUGAUCCAGCCAUGCCGCGUGUGUGAAGAAGGCCUUAUGGUUGUAAAGCACUUUAAGCGAGGAGGAGGCUACUGAGACUAAUACUCUUGGAUAGUGGACGUUACUCGCAGAAUAAGCACCGGCUAACUCUGUGCCAGCAGCCGCGGUAAUACAGAGGGUGCGAGCGUUAAUCGGAUUUACUGGGCGUAAAGCGUGCGUAGGCGGCUUUUUAAGUCGGAUGUGAAAUCCCCGAGCUUAACUUGGGAAUUGCAUUCGAUACUGGGAAGCUAGAGUAUGGGAGAGGAUGGUAGAAUUCCUGGUGUAGCGGUGAAAUGCGUAGAGAUCUGGAGGAAUACCGAUGGCGAAGGCAGCCAUCUGGCCUAAUACUGACGCUGAGGUACGAAAGCAUGGGGAGCAAACAGGAUUAGAUACCCUGGUAGUCCAUGCCGUAAACGAUGUCUACUAGCCGUUGGGGCCUUUGAGGCUUUAGUGGCGCAGCUAACGCGAUAAGUAGACCGCCUGGGGAGUACGGUCGCAAGACUAAAACUCAAAUGAAUUGACGGGGGCCCGCACAAGCGGUGGAGCAUGUGGA